rnacentral:rRNA from 1 species
AGAGAGUGCAAGCGUUAAUCGGAAUUACUGGGCGUAAAGCGCGCGUAGGUGGAUACUUAAGUCGGAUGUGAAAGCCCCGGGCUCAACCUGGGAAUUGCACUCGAAACUGGGUAUCUAGAGUAUAGUAGAGGGAAGUGGAAUUUCCGGUGUAGCGGUGAAAUGCGUAGAUAUCGGAAAGAACACCAGUGGCGAAGGCGGCUUCCUGGACUAAUACUGACACUGAGGUGCGAAAGCGUGGGGAGCAAACAGGGAUUAGAGACCCUGGUAGUCCACGCCGUCAACGAUGAGAACUAGCUGUUGGGGGAGUUUAUCUUCUUAGUAGCGAAGCUAACGCGUUAAGUUCUCCGCCUGGGGAUACGGCCGCAAGGUUA